rnacentral:rRNA from 1 species
GAUGAACGCUGGCGGCGUGCUUAACACAUGCAAGUCGAACGGAGUUAUUUGAAAGCUUGCUUUUGAAUAACUUAGUGGCGGACGGGUGAGUAACGCGUGGGUGACCUGCCUUAUACUGGGGGAUAACACUUAGAAAUAGGUGCUAAUACCGCAUAAGCGCACAGUUCUGCAUGGAACAGUGUGAAAAACUCCGGUGGUAUAAGAUGGACCCGCGUCUGAUUAGCUAGUUGGUGAGGUAACGGCCCACCAAGUCAACGAUCGGUAGCCGACCUGAGAGGGUGAUCGGCCACAUUGGAACUGAGACACGGUCCAAACUCCUACGGGAGGCAGCAGUGGGGAAUAUUGGGGCAAUGGGCAAAGCCUGACCCAGCAACGCCGCGUGAAGGAAGAA